CCUAUCAACUUUCGAUGUUACUAUCUGCCCCUACCAUGGUGAUUACGGGUAACGGGGAAUCAGGGUUUGAUUACG